rnacentral:lncRNA from 1 species
AUCGAUCCAAGAUCACGAGAGAGAUCCCAACCUGAAGAACAUUGAGCUUGAAGGAACAUUCGAGCAGAUAAACGAAGCGAGCGCAAUGGUUAGAGAGCUGAUUGGGAGGCUUAAUUCCGCAUCUAGGAGACCACCUGGUGGCGGUGGUGGCGGGGGUGGGCUUGGUUCUGAAGGGAAACCACAUCCAGGAAGCAACUUCAAGACGAAGAUGUGUGAGAGAUUCUCUAAAGGAAGCUGUACAUUUGGUGAUAGAUGUCACUUUGCUCACGGGGAAGCAGAGCUACGCAGGUCAUGAAUUGCGCCUAGAGUUACUGGUGAAACAAGU